CAGAGUGUUCUAAACACCCUAAACCCCUGUGAACAUACCAGUCGUUGCUUCGGCGGGAUCGCCCCGGGCGCCUCACAGCGCCCCGGAACCAGGCGCCCGCCGGGGGAAACCAAACUCUUGUUUUGUAUAGUGGCUUACUCUGAGUGGCUCCUAGCGAGCAAAAAAUGUCA
rnacentral:misc_RNA from 1 species